GAGACUGUUAUUUCAGUGAUCUUUUCUGUAGUUGGUGACUAGAGAAAUGUGUCCAUGAGUGUUCGGUCUUGCUAACCACAAUGAGGAGUUGUAGCAUUUUCUCCUGAGCAUAAAGUGAGUGGGUAGUACUGUUUGUGUACAUCUGUUGCUGGCUCUUGAUGAUUGCUCUUCUUGCUUUAGGGAGCUAGAGGGGGAAAGUGCACACUGAGUGGU